rnacentral:rRNA from 1 species
GGACUACCAUGGCAGUCACGGGUAACGGAGAAUUAGGGUUCGAUUUCCGGAGAGGGAGCCUGAGAAACGGCUACCACAUCUACGGAAGGCAGCAGGCGCGUAAAUUACCCAAUCCUGAUUCAGGGAGGUAGUGACAAGAAAUAACAACUCGGGGCCUCACGGCUUACGAGAUUGCAAUGAGAACAAUUUAAAUCUCUUAGCGAGGAACAAUUGGAGGGCAAGUCUGGUGCCAGCAGCCGCGGUAAUUCCAGCUCCAAUAGCGUAUAUUAAAGUUGUUGCAGUUAAAAAGCUCGUAGUUGAAUUUCUGAUUAUGGAUGUAGCGGUUUCCGUUACAUUUGUAGUCAUCCACAUGAGAACCUUUCUCGGCCUUCACUGGUCGGUUGGGGGAUCAUGUACUUUACUUGAAAAAAUCAGAGUGUUUCUAGGCAGGCGUUUGCAUGAAUACACAAG